rnacentral:rRNA from 1 species
GACGAACGCUGGCGGCGUGCCUAAUACAUGCAAGUAGGACGCAGUUGCGAACGGGUGAGUAACGCGUAGGUCACUGCCUAUUAGAGGGGGAUAACUAUUGGAAACGAUAGCUAAUACCGCAUACUAGUAGAUGGACCUGCGUUGUAUUAGCUAGUAGGUAGGGUAAUGGCCUACCUAGGCGACGAUACAUAGCCGACCUGGAAGGGUGAUCUGCCACAAUGGGAAUGAGACACGGCCCAAACUCCUAAGGGAGGGAGCAGGAGGGAAUCAUCGGCAAUGGGGGGAAACCUGACCGAGCAACGGCGCGUGAGUGAAGAAGGUUUUCGGAUCGUAAAGCUCUGUUGUUAAGGAAGCGGUACUUAACCAGAAAGGGACGGCUAACUCCGUGCCAGCAGCCGCGGUAAUAC